CCCAUCCCGAACCCACCGGCUUUCUCUUCCCCGAGAGCCUGGACAUCAGAUCUACCAUGUGUUCUUGAGUUCCUUGCUCACCCCUCCUCGAAUCUCCUGUAGGCUUCAGAUCGUCGCGGCUGCCUUCUCCGUCCAUCUGCCGGAGAGCCGCACUGUCGCGUCCAUCCUCGUACAUAAGUUCGUCCAUCUCCCACCAUUAUCAGUAGAUAAGGAAAUUUACUACCCAGGAGGAUUGUAUGGAGACAGACUUGUGCCCCAGCCUGGAUAUUUCGUUGGUUUGCUGAACAGUGUACAUAAUACUUGGAUUCCAGAGAUUCCAGUGUAUAAGCAUGUUAAUUGGUGCGGCCAUAUUCGGCGUACACUGAUGUAUGAAGCAGAGAGAGUGCAGGACCUCAUCAAAAGAGGGGUUAAAGUCAUCCAACCUGGUGGCUGAAGCUUAUACGCCAAGGUACAUUAUCUUGAUAAUCUCCACCUAGAGGGAUUGCCGUUAAGUGAUCGAAUGUUCCCAAGAGCAUUCCUGUUCACUGAAGAUGUUAUGGCUCUUCAUUGGGUAAAGUCACCAAUUGAUGGAUCAAGAGAGUUUCGGCAAUCUAUGAUGAAAAGGGAGUAGAUCUGUGUUAUUCUAGACGCACCUUGCCUUCUGGAUACAGACCACGGAUAGCACAACCGAAUCAUCCUCCGCAAAAAGAAAAGGAUAUCAAACAAUUCAGUGUGAAGAGCAAGGACGCAGAAAAAUUACCACGGGCAUGCGUAUAUUGGAGGCAUCAAAUCGGAGGAACAAUUUGAGAACCCUAAAUAAAGGUAGUACGUCCCUGAAAACUACUUACACCA